rnacentral:lncRNA from 1 species
UUGGAUUAUUUUCGUGAGAUCCUAAACUCCCUUGGAUGGGAGAUUCAAGAUCUAAACCUGACCAAGACAAGACAAAAUAAUACUCAUAUUAGAUUUCUGAUAUCCUCCAAAAAUCAAACAUGGCUUGCAUUAGUUAUGUGUUUAAGAAUUUGUGUAUGUUUCUCUUGGUCGUCGCGGUUGCAAGUCGAUCGGGCACGUGGAAAAUCUUUGAUGUCCGAAAAUAUGGUGCCAAAGGCGACGGCAAAACUGAUAAUGCCAAUGUACAUGACAUUAAUUUUUUUUUACCCGUUUAAUUUUCCUAUGAUUAGUUUACAUCUAAAAACACCAUUAUCCUUCAUACUCAAAUUGUUAUGAGAUAGUUUAGAAUUUACUUUUGUAUCCCGUAAGGGUUUAAUGUUUCUAACAAUAGAAGAGUCAUAUUUUCAAGGAAAAUUUGAAGCUGGGCACGCAAACGUUGAAACGACACAUAUUAACUGGUUGAACCAUAAAUAUACAUGUCAAAAGCUUAAGCUCGUCUCUCCAUAUAGUACUGUAGAAUCCUAUAAACCCAAUAGAUUGGUAUACAGAUACAAAAAAAGAAGAAGCAAAUUUCCUUUGUUUAGUAUAGAAGAUCC